GCCACUGUAGCUCAGCGGUAGAGCGGCGGUUUCGUAAACCGCAGGCCGGGGGUUCAAAACCCUCCAGUGGCUCCA
rnacentral:tRNA from 1 species